UACGUAGGGUGCGAGCGUUAAUCGGAAUUACUGGGCGUAAAGCGAGCGCAGACGGUUACUUAAGCAGGAUGUGAAAUCCCCGGGCUUAACCUGGGAACUGCGUUCUGAACUGGGUAGCUAGAGUAUGUCAGAGGGGGGUAGAAUUCCACGUGUAGCAGUGAAAUGCGUAGAGAUGUGGAGGAAUACCGAUGGCGAAGGCAGCCCCCUGGGAUGAUACUGACGUUCAUGCUCGAAAGCGUGGGUAGCAAACAGG
rnacentral:rRNA from 1 species